UGAGGAACAUGACCUUCGGCGGGGGAUAGCCGGCCCAACGGCCGGGUAAUACCGCGUACGACCACAUGGGGACAUCCCUGAGUGGUGAAAGCAGCAAUGCGCCGAUGGAGUGCCUCGCGGCCUAUCAGCUAGUUGGUGAGGUAACGACUCACCAAGGCGACGAUGGGUAGCUGGUCUGAGAGGAUGGCCAGCCACAUUGGAACUGAGACACGGUCCAGAUCCUA
rnacentral:rRNA from 1 species